UUCCAGCUCCAAUAGCGUAUAUUAAAGUUGUUGCAGUUAAAAAGCUCGUAGUUGGAUUUCUGGCGGGAGCGAUCGGUCCUUCACUCAGUGUUGGAACCUGAUUGUCUCCUGCCAUCCAUGGAGAAAACUUAUCUGGCAUUAAGUUGUCGGGUAGGCAAUCUCCAUCUUUUACUGUGAAAAAAUUAGAGUGUUCAAAGCAGGCUUAUGCCGUUGAAUAUAUUAGCAUGGAAUAAUAAGAUAGGACUAUGGUACUAUUUUGUUGGUUUGUGCACCAUGGUAAUGAUUAAUAGGGACAGUUGGGGGUAUUCGUAUUCCAUUGUCAGAGGUGAAAUUCUUGGAUUUAUGGAAGACGAACUACUGCGAAAGCAUUUGCCAGGGAUGUUUUCAUCA
rnacentral:rRNA from 1 species